UUACGGGAGGCAGCAGUGGGGAAUCUUGCGCAAUGGGCGAAAGCCUGACGCAGCAACGCCGCGUGUGUGAUGAAGGUCUUCGGAUCGUAAAGCACUGUCGGGAGGGACGAAUAAGGGGCGGGCUAACAUCCCGUUCCGAUGACGGUACCUCCAAAGGAAGCACCGGCUAACUCUGUGCCAGCAGCCGCGGUAAUACAGAGGGUGCUAGCGUUGUUCGGAAUUAUUGGGCGUAAAGCGCGUGUAGGCGGCCUUGCAAGUUGGGUGUGAAAGCCCUCGGCUUAACCGAGGAAGUGCGCCCAAAACUACAUGGCUUGAGUACCGGAGAGGGUGGCGGAAUUCCCGGUGUAGAGGUGAAAUUCGUAGAUAUCGGGAGGAACACCAGUGGCGAAGGCGGCCACCUGGACGGCUACUGACGCUGAGACGCGAAAGCGUGGGGAGCAAACAGGAUUAGAAACCCGAGUAGUCCG
rnacentral:rRNA from 1 species